AACAGAUGACGCCGUUGACUUUUUAUCACAUGUUUGAUCAUUCGUCUUAUUCAAAAAAUUUACGUAAUUAUAAUUUAUUUUGUUAUGAGUUGUUUUAUCAUUCAUAUUACUUUAAGUAUACAUUUGCACAAAAUUUUUGAAUAAGACGAAUGGUCAAACAUGUAAGAAAAAGUCAAUGGCGUCAUCUAUU
rnacentral:pre_miRNA from 1 species